CAAUGCAGCUAGUCGACCACUGGGCUAUAGCAAUGAGCUAGAGAGAAGGCAAAAUCACUCUUGGUGAGUUGUGUCUGGUGAAGACAAGCCUGAACAAGCAACUCCAAAUCCUAACCUGGAUUUCUCCAGAGCCCUUCUGCAGUCACAUCCUACAGGAGAGUGCUGGUUACACUCCCCUCCUUUGGUGGUGUGAAAGUGGUAGAGAUGUCCCGUUCUCUUCAUUCUUGGAAUCCCUGAAGGACAUGGUGCUGGGCAUGGCUGCUCUGGACCGAGCCAGGAGACAAACUGCAGUCUAGCAGCCACGAACCUGCAAGCCCUCCUGGCUGCUCUCCCAGCUGAGAGCAGAAGCCACAAGGCUAACAACAAGACAGUGUGAAAAGAUGCUGAACCCAGACAGAUAUAUAGCAGACUACAAAUUUCAGAAGAUUAUGGGGAUUCCACUUUUUAUGUUCACUUACUAGGUUCCACAUUAUUUUGUCCUCUGCAUGGAAAGAAAUACUGAUCAUCCCAUUCAGUAGUCACAUAAAGCUGACUGUACUUUUCUGCUGAAUACUCAAAAAAAUUAUAGGCCCUGAUAUGAGUUUAGCCAAGAAAUGCAUCUGAUCAUGUGCCCAGAUGAAAAAUCAGGCUCCAAAUACCCAUCUGGAUUCAGAAAUGAACUCAGCACCUCAGGCUCAUCCCCAAUGGAAAGAAUGACACACACAAGCGUGACUUCAUGGUCAUAAGGCCUUGAAAAUGUACAUCCAAAUUGUUUGCAACAAUAUACAUUUGAUCAGGUUUUGGAAGCUGUUAAAAAUAAAGAGCCAAAUGAUGAAGCAGUGGAGAGUGUCUGCAGGGAAAAGGUGCUUUGUGCCAGUAAGUUGGGGAUGUUCCCCUUGGCUCACAAGUCUGCAUUGUAUUUUGGCCAUACACUCAGACUUGAAUCAUGCAGAUCCUGCCAAGAUGUCAGAGAAGCAGAAGAUGUCACUUGCUUCCUUAGGCUCAACCCCCCCAUUUUAAAAGCUGUAUUGAAUGUUACACACAGCAUAUGCUUUUCUACCUGUUUUUCUUCCCUUGCAAUUAAUAUAGAAGAGCAGCCCUAGAAUUGGGUGAAUAUUGCAAGAAGUUUUUGCAUAAACAUUUCCUGGUUGGAAUGUUUAAAUGAAGAUGCUCCAGGCAUAGCUG